rnacentral:rRNA from 1 species
GAGUGGACUCCUACGGGAGGCAGCAGUGAGGAAUAUUGGUCAAUGGGCGAGAGCCUGAACCAGCCAAGUCGCGUGAAGGAUGACUGUCUUAUGGAUUGUAAACUUCUUUUGUAGGGGAAUAAAGAACAGCACGAGUGCUGUAGUGAAUGUACCCUACGAAUAAGCAUCGGCUAACUCCGUGCCAGCAGCCGCGGUAAUACGGAGGAUGCGAGCGUUAUCCGGAUUUAUUGGGUUUAAAGGGUGCGUAGGCGGCCUGUUAAGUCAGCGGUGAAAUCUAGGAGCUUAACUCCUAAAUUGCCAUUGAUACUGGCGGGCUUGAGUGUAGAUGAGGUAGGCGGAAUGCGUGGUGUAGCGGUGGAAUGCAUAGAUAUCACGCAGAACUCCGAUUGCGAAGGCAGCUUACUAAGGUACAACUGACGCUGAAGCACGAAAGCGUGGGUAUCAAACAGGAUUAGAAACCCUUGUAGUCCUAUC